CAUAACCUCGGGAAACUGGGGAUAAUUCCGGAUAACGCAUAUUUGCUGGAAUGCUUUAUGCGUCAAAAGGAUUCGUCUGCCCAAGGAUGGGUCUGCGGCCUAUCAGGUAGUAGUGGGUGUAAUGUACCUACUAGCCAGCGACGGGUACGGGUUGUGAGAGCAAGAGCCCGGAGAUGGAUUCUGAGACAUGAAUCCAGGCCCUACGGGGCGCAGCAGGCGCGAAAACUUUACAAUGCGGGAAACCGUGAUAAGGGGACACCGAGUGCCAGCAUCAUAUGCUGGCUGUCCGGAUGUGUAAAAUACAUCCGUUAGCAAGGGCCGGGCAAGACCGGUGCCAGCCGCCGCGGUAACACCGGCGGCCCGAGUGGUGAUCGUGAUUAUUGGGUCUAAAGGGUCCGUAGCCGGUUUGGUCAGUCCUCCGGGAAAUCUGAUAGCUCAACUAUUAGGCUUUCGGGGGAUACUGCCAGACUUGGAACCAGGAGAGGUAAGAGGUACUACAGGGGUAGGAGUGAAAUCUUGUAAUCCCUGUGGGACCACCUGUGGCGAAGGCGUCUUACCAGAACGGGUUCGACGGUGAGGGACGAAAGCUGGGGGCACGAACCGGAUUAGAUACCCGGGUAGUCCCAGCCGUAAACGAUGCUCGCUAGGUGUCAGGCAUGGCGCGACCGUGUCUGGUGCCGCAGGGAAGCCGUGAAGCGAGCCACCUGGGAAGUACGGCCGCAAGGCUGAAACUUAAAGGAAUUGGCGGGGGAGCACAACAACGGGUGGAGCCUGCGGUUUAAUUGGACUCAACGCCGGACAACUCACCGGGGGCGACAGCAAUAUGUAGGCCAAGCUGAAGACUUUGCCUGAAUCGCUGAGAGGAGUGCAU
rnacentral:rRNA from 1 species